rnacentral:rRNA from 1 species
UGGGGGAUAUUGCACAAUGGGCGAAAGCCUGAUGCAGCGACGCCGCGUGGGGGAUGAAGGCCUUCGGGUUGUAAACUUCUUUUGCUCUGAACAAGGCAUGCUAAUGGGUGUGUUGAGUGUAGGGGUUGAUUAGCGCCGGCUAACUACGUGCCAGCAGCCGCGGUAAUACGUAGGGCGCGAGCGUUGUCCGGAAUUAUUGGGCGUAAAGGGCUUGUAGGUGGCUGGUUGCGUCUGUCGUGAAAGCUCAUGGCUUAACGGUGGGUUUGCGGUGGGUACGGGCUGGCUUGAGUGCAGUAGGGGAGGCUGGAAUUCCUGGUGUAGCGGUGGAAUGCGCAGAUAUCAGGAGGAAUACCGGUGGCGAAGGCGGGUCUCUGGGCUGUUACUGACACUGAGGAGCGAAAGCAUGGGGAGCGAACAGG